rnacentral:rRNA from 1 species
GACGAACGCUGGCGGCGUGCUUAACACAUGCAAGUCGAACGGAAAGGCCCUGCUUUUGUGGGGUGCUCGAGUGGCGAACGGGUGAGUAACACGUGAGUAACCUGCCCUUGACUGUGGGAUAACUUCAGGAAACUGGGGCUAUUACCGGAUAGGAGCUCCUGCUGCAUGGUGGGGGUUGGAAAGUUUCGGCGGUUGGGGAUGGACUCGCGGGUUAUCAGCUUGUUGGUGGGGUAGUGGCUUAACAAGGCUUUGACGGGUAGCCGGCCUGAGAGGGUGACCGGCGACAUGGGGACUGCGAGACGGCCCAGACUCCUACGUGAGGCAGCAGUGGGAAAUAUGGCACAAUGGGCGGGAGCCUGAGGCAGCAACGCCGCGUGCGUGAUGACGUCCUUCGGGUUGUGAACCGCUUUCGCCUAUGACGAAGCGUGAGUGACGGUAAUGGGUAAAGAAGCACCGGCUAACUACGUG